rnacentral:rRNA from 1 species
GUCGAGAAUCUUUCACAAUGGGGGCAACCCUGAUGGAGCGACGCCGCGUGGAGGAUAAGGUCUUCGGAUUGUAAACUCCUGUCAUGCGUGAACAAGGUUGCUUGGUUAAUACCUGGGCAAAUUGAUGGUAACGCAAGAGGAAGAGACGGCUAACUCUGUGCCAGCAGCCGCGGUAAUACAGAGGUCUCAAGCGUUGUUCGGAAUCACUGGGCGUAAAGGGUGCGUAGGUGGCGUGGUAAGUCAGAUGUGAAAACCCGGGGCUCAACCUCGGAACUGCAUCCGAUACUGCCAUGCUAGAGUACUGGAGAGUUGACUAGAAUUCUCGGUGUAGCAGUGAAAUGCGUAGAUAUCGAGAGGAAUACCAAAGGCGUAGGCAGGUCACUGGACAGUUACUGACACUGAGGCACGAAGGCCAGGGGAGCGAACGGGAUUAGAAACCCGGGUAGUCC